GUCCUGUUAUCAAAAGGAAUAAGUGGUCAUCUACAAAGUGGAUGCAUGUUGGUGAAUACAGAGUGUAGUGAAUCUCUGAGGAGACGAGAUUUGGAGAAUUCUUCUCUGACGAAAAUGGCCUGACUGCUGCUGUGCUUACUGAAGAUUAGCGUUAUUAGCUAUCCUUCAUACGAGAAAUUUGUGAGGUUGAGUGUGUGUUAGAUGCGCGGCACCGUACAGCAUGCUUGAUUAAAAUGAUAACUGGCUAUAUUAUAAUAGAGGACUCGCAUUUUGUAACUGUGUAAAACAUCAUAUUCUAUCCCGUACCUCCUUUUCCUUGGGCUGGAAACUUCUUUGAUUCAUGCUAUGUUUUUCACAUGAUAACGAUAUAAUAGUAAAGAAGUAGAGAUUUAUUUGUAAAGGACUAAAUUCCUUGUUCGAAUUUUAAGAAAUGUAACUUAAGUUUGUGAAAAA